UUUAGGGCUAGCCUCAUACAAGUCUUGCGGAGGUAGAGCACUGAAUUUCCUAGGGGGCGUCAAAGCUUACCGAAGAAUAUCAAACUCCGAAUGCCGCGUAGAUGGUGUAUGGGAGUCAGACUGCACGAGAUAAGUUGGGCAGUCGAAAGGGAAAGAGCCCAGACCUGCAGCUAAGGUCCCAAAUGUGUGUUAAGUGGAAAAGGAUGUGGGAUUUCAAAGACAACUAGGAUGUUUGGCUCAGAAGCAGCCAUACAUUCAAAGAGUGCGUAAUAGCUCACUGGUCGAGAGGUCCUGCGCCGAAAAUGUCCGGGGCUGAAACACACUGCCGAAGCUCGGGAAUGACGAAGUCUUGGUAGAGGAGCAUUGCAGAGGAAGCGGUACCGAAGGAGCCGUGGAGGGUAGAAGAGAGAAUGCCGGAAUGAGUAGCGAGAGGAAGGUGGGAAUCCUUCCGGCCGAAUAUCCAAGGUUUCCAGGUAAAGCUGAUCUGCUCUGGGUAAGUCGGGGCCUAAGGCGAGGCGAGAGGCGUAGCCGAUGGAAACAGGUUGAGAUUCCUGUACCGCGUGUACAGAACUGUGGGGACACGUGUGGAAAGGGCAUGCCGGGAAGGAAAGACCGGCGCAAGCGGGGGAGAGAGAUGCAGGCAAAUCCGCAUGUCAAUCCGGGACCGUGAGCGGACGAAAAAGAGUAGCGAAGUGCCGUGCCAUGCGUCAAGAAAAGCCGCUAUGGCUGUAUACGCGCCCGUACCGUAAACCGACACAGGUGGAUGAGGAGAGAAUCCUAAGGCCGACGGAGAAGCAUUGUUAAGGAACUCGGCAAAAUGACUCCGUAACUUCGGGAGAAGGAGUGCCGGUGAGAGCCGGCCGCAGAGAAUUGGCCCAAGCAACUGUUUAGCAAAAACAGGUCUGUGCGAAACCGAAAGGUGAAGUAUACGGGCUGACGCCUGCCCGGUGCUGGAAGGUUAAGGGGAGAGGUUAGCGCAAGCGAAGCUUUGAACUUAAGCCCCAGUAAACGGCGGCCGUAACUAUAACGGUCCUAAGGUAGCGAAAUUCCUUGUCGGGUAAGUUCCGACCCGCACGAAAGGCGUAAUGAUUUGGGCACUGUCUCGACAAUGCACCCGGUGAAAUUGAAAUACCAGUGAAGAUGCUGGUUACCUGCGCCAGGACGGAAAGACCCCAUGGAGCUUUACUCCAGCUGAUACUGGGAUUCGGUAUUGCAUGUACAGGAUAGGUGGGAGCGAGAAGCGGUGACGCCAGUUGCCGCGGAGCCGCUGUUGGGAUACCACCCUUGUGAUACUGGGUUUCUAACCGGGGCCGUAAGCCGGUGGGACAAUGUCAGGCGGGGAGUUUGACUGGGGCGGUCGCCUCCGAAAGGGUAUCGGAGGCGCUCAAAGGUUCCCUCAGAAUGGUUGGAAACCAUUCGGAAGAGUGCAAAGGCAGAAGGGAGCUUGACUGCGACACCGACGGGUGGAGCAGGUACGAAAGUAGGACUUAGUGAUCCGGUGGUAGAAAGUGGGAUUGCCAUCGCUCAACGGAUAAAAGCUACCCUGGGGAUAACAGGCUUAUCACUCCCAAGAGUUCACAUCGACGGAGUGGUUUGGCACCUCGAUGUCGGCUCAUCGCAUCCUGGGGCUGAGUAGGUCCCAAGGGUUGGGCUGUUCGCCCAUUAAAGCGGUACGCGAGCUGGGUUCAGAACGUCGUGAGACAGUUCGGUCCCUAUCCGGCGUGGGCGCAGGAUAUCUGAGAGGAGCUGUCCUUAGUACGAGAGGACCGGGAUGGACCGGCCGCUGGUGUACUGCUGGCUCACCAGGCCAUGGCAGAGUAGCCAAGCCGGGACGGGAUAAACGCUGAAGGCAUCUAAGCGUGAAGCCCCCCUCAAGAUGAGAUAUCCCACGUAAGGUAGUAAGACCCCUUGAAGACGACGAGGUAGAUAGGGCAGGGGUGGAAGUGCAGUAAUGCAUGGAGCUGACUGCUACUAAUCGGUCGAGGGCAUGACCAA
rnacentral:rRNA from 1 species